CCACUGGUUUUCUUAAAAACCAUAGAUCGGUUUAUUUAUUUAUUUU
rfam:Triticum aestivum genome assembly, contig: Triticum_aestivum_CS42_TGACv1_scaffold_194406_3AL